GGUACAGGGGCCUACUGGCAACAAACAAUACUUAUGGACUGCCCGAAGAACAGUGGACCUUGGCGUGGGCCGGGUAACCCACUAGUUCAUAGUCAUCCCUGACUGCCCCCAUCCCUUGCUCAUGAGAAAAUUGCUCCCCAAAAUGGCUUGCGUGGGCUGAAAUGGCUGGGUGAGGCCAUGUGUAUGCAUAUCUACAGACUGUGUAUGCGGAGCUUAAGACCUGUCUCAGUGCACCAGUACCUGAUGCUGGGAGAUGAAUGGCUUAGCACUGUUCUACUUGGAACAUAUCACUCCUGCCAGUCGGGCACUAACAAUUAUCACCCAAUCCAGGACUUAAACUGUGAUAGAGUGGCUGAUGUUUGCCUUUGAAUAGAGUGUCCCAAAAGAUGGGACCACUGGUCAGCUGCCAUGGACUAGAUUCUCCACCUGUUGGGGACAAUCUGGUCACCUUGCUGCCCAAUCCUGACCUGGAGCCACCACAGCACGAGUGUCAAGCACUGGCAGAAGCCCAUGGGUGGA
rnacentral:lncRNA from 1 species